GUGAGGAAUAUUGCGCAAUGGAGGCAACUCUGACGCAGCCAUGCCGCGUGCAGGAAGAAGGCGCUACGCGUUGUAAACUGCUUUUAACCGGGAAGAAACCCCAGGACGUGUCCUGGGUUGACGGUACCGGAGGAAUAAGCACCGGCUAACUUCGUGCCAGCAGCCGCGGUAAUACGAAGGGUGCAAGCGUUAUCCGGAUUCAUUGGGUUUAAAGGGUGCGUAGGCGGAGCGUUAAGUCAGUGGUGAAAUCCUGCAGCUUAACUGUAGACUUGCCAUUGAUACUGGCGCUCUUGAGUGUGCUUGAAGUGGGCGGAAUGUGCCGUGUAGCGGUGAAAUGCUUAGAUAUGGCACAGAACACCAAUUGCGAAGGCAGCUCACUAAGGCGAUACUGACGCUGAGGCACGAAAGCGUGGGGAUCGAACAGGAUUAGAAACCCGAGUAGUCC
rnacentral:rRNA from 1 species